rnacentral:lncRNA from 1 species
AAUCAUUUUCAUUUAUAAUAUAAUCAUAAUAAAAUUUCAAUAUUCAUUACAAUUAAGAUUCGAUCAAAUCAAUUCUACCACAUUCCAUUACAAAAUAAUAUUUAAGUUAAAUUCUAACAAAAACUAUAACUAAAAUGAGUAAACAUGAUUUUUGGAUCCACUACCAAAUAAAUUGAAUCUUAGCAUUCAAAUGAGUUAACACUUGUUGCUCCUUCGUUCCUUCAAAAUGUGAUGCAUCAACCAAUACAUCCAAUUAAUAUUGUCUUCUUUGCCAUCACCACUACAUAUCCUUCACACAAUCACAAUCAAAAUGAUCAUAAACAAAUUAGCCACAUGUUGUCAUUUCGUCAAGACAUAAUAAUUACAUUAAAAUAAUACAUGUGUUCCAUACUCAUCAACAACAAUUAACAAUUAUAUAUAUACUACGCAAACUCAUUUUCCAAAGAAUAUUCAGAAAGAUUCAUACAAAAUAUAACCUCAUUCUUUCCAACUAUCAUUGACAAUUAAAGUCUAGAUAAAUAUACAUUACCUUUUACUCCUUUAUAUAUUCUUGAACACAAUCUGCCCACUCUGAUCGCACUACAUCUAUCUCUUCAUUUGAAUACUUUUCAUGAGCAUUGAACUGUUAAGUACAUAUGAUAAUUUAAAAAAUAAAACAAAGGCAAAUAAUUAUUAAUACUGUACAAUUUAACAUACACAAUUAUUACCAAAGAUUGUAGAGAACCAAUCGUCCAAGGAUGACUAUUUAUCACUAUCUCUCUCAUGUACUUCAUCACAU